UUGACCUCAAAUCAGGUAGGACUACCCGCUGAACUUAAGCAUAUCAAUAAGCGGAGGAAAAGAAACUACCAAGGAUUCCCCUAGUAACUGCGAGUGAAGCGGGAAAAGCUCAAAUUUGAAAUCUGGCGGUUCCCUGGACCCGUCCGAGUUGUAAUCUAGAGAAGUGCUUACCUGUGCUGGACCGUGUAAAAGUCUCCUGGAAUGGAGCAUCACAGAGGGUGAGAAUCCCGUCUUUGACACGGACUGCCUGUGCGAUAUGGUGCGCUCUCGAAGAGUCGAGUUGUUUGGGAAUGCAGCUCAAAAUGGGUGGUAAAUGCCAUCUAAAGCUAAAUAUUGGCGAGAGACCGAUAGCGAACAAGUACCGUGAGGGAAAGAUGAAAAGAACUUUGGAAAGAGAGUUAAACAGUACGUGAAAUUGCUGAAAGGGAAACGCUUGAAGUCAGUCGCGUCGGCUGGAAAUCAGUCUUGCUUCUGCUUGACGUACUUUCUGGUCUGACGGGUCAGCAUCAGUUUUGACCUCCGGACAAAGUCAUUGGGAAUGUGGCAUCUCAGGAUGUGUUAUAGCCCGUUGUCGCAUGCGGUGGUCGGGAUUGAGGAGCUCAGCACGCCCGCGAGGGCCGGGUCUCUAAG
rnacentral:rRNA from 1 species